UUUUACAUCUUCAGCAGCACUUGACAUUGUCAUGUUCUAUUUUUUUUCAUUUUUGAGAUUUUUGAAACAGGGCCUCAUUCUGUUGCGUAGGCUGGAGUACAGCUGUACAAUUAGAGCUCACUGCAGCUUCGAACUCCUGGGCUCAAGUGAUCCUCCUGUCUCACCUCCUGAGUAGCUGAGAUGAUUGCAGGACUCCAGUUAUACAUAUAUCAGGAAGCUUAAUACAAUCCCAGAGGUUUUACUUGAAAAAUAGAAUUUUAUUGAUAAAAAAUAGAAAACUUCAAAUCUAUCACAACUCAUCAACAGUCUACUCCUUUUAUGUAUUGGAAGCUUGUCAACUUCUUUUUGAAAAGUUAAAGUUAAGUUAGAGCUAAGACCAUAAACAUAUGAAGACUGUCUGAGAAGACAUGACUGGAAACUGAAUAGGGCUGGGCGUGGUGGCUCACACCUGUAAUCCCAACAAUUUGGGAGGCCGAGGCGGGGGGAUCACCUGAAGUCAAGAGUUCGAGACCAGCCUGGUCAACAUGGAGAAAUCCUGUUUCCACUAAGAAUACAAGAAUUAGCCAGGCGUGGUGGCAGGUGCCUGUAAUCCCAGCUACUCAGGUGGCUGAGGCAGGAGAAUUGCUUCAACCCGGGAGGCAGAGGUUGCAGUGAUCCAAGAUCAUGCCACUGCACUCCAGCCUGGGAGACAGAGAAAGACUCCAUCUCAGGGGAAAAAAAAGAAAAGAAAAGAAAAAGAAAAGAAAACUGAAUAAUACUCUAUUUUUCUACAAUGAAUCUAGAAGAAAAAGAAAAGACCAAAUAUAGGAUUACUUGAAUGAGGUGAGUUUUAAAUGUUUGUGAGGGAUGAUAGGCAUAAAAUUGGUGAAGAAAAAAAAAGUCAGUGUUUUGCUCAGGGUGUUAUUUUAUACCGUGGAGCUUAGCAGGUGAUAAAUCUCAUGUAAGCUCAGCCUAAGUAUCUCUUUUCCCCACCCCCAAAAUGUACCUUAUCAACUAAGUUGAAAAUAAUUCUUAACAUGCUGUUUGCAGCUGGCCAAGCAUAGUCUCUCAUCAGAUUAAAUCAAAUGGAAAACACAAUGAGCUCUGGAAUAUGAAUAGGGCCCAGAGUGUCUGUUUUUUAAUCAUGCUCAAAAUCCAAUUGAACCAACAUGUACUGAUUAAAGUUUCUUUAGGUACCAAGACUUAAAGAAUUUUUUUUUCACCAAAGUUUGAGUUUAUGGCUUCCUGUUCAUGCAGCCUUAGAAAUACUAGCCUUGAUUUUUUGUGAAAUCACAACCAGCUCCCUUCCCAAACAAUGGCCAAAGUAUCAGUUUUAUUUACUUGUGUUUAUCCUAAUAAACUCUAGCCUUUUUACCUCAGUUCAUGGUGGUAACUUGUACAUCAUUUAAUUACUUCUUUUAAAUUUUAAUUUUAUGAUUUUUAUUUUAUAUGGAUGAGGAGGUAGAAAUAUAAAUAGGAAAUAGUUGGGAGAAUAGUCUAUACGUGCCUCCACUAACAUAAAUAAUAAAAUGAUUUUGCCCUUUCUUAGUUCUUCAGAGAUCUCCCUGGCCAUGUCAAUUAAGUUGGCCACUCCAAAAUAAAACUACACUAUUAACCUUUAGAACUACAUUCUAAGGUAGGACAGAAACAGUUUUUAGACAGACAGAAAUCCUGGGAUGAAGGAGAGUUUCAAGUGACAUUUUUCUUAUAAAUAAAUAAAUAUCAGCUAAUGUCUUUUUCAAUAUGGCUGACUAGAUACCGGGAAUGAUCUUCCCCAAUGAGAAGAAAUAAAUGUGUUAAGUGAAACAUAAAAAGGCAUUGCUGAACUGUUAUGGUAAUAAGGAAUCUGCAGAGACACAUUUGUUGGGAAAGUAGGUAAGUGAAUGAAAAUGAGGAAAGUGAUCUCCAAAAUCUACUUUUUUUCCUGGAAUCUUCUUCCAUUUUCUGAGUUCAACUUCAUUGUCCUGUACUAGAGAUCCACUUCACUUCUCGGGAUCCACUCUGAUGGCUUCAUGGAUAACAGAUCAUAAACUCUAGGACUCAUCAAAGGUGAAGUAUAGUAAAAAGUCCCUACAUUAAAAUGUAGACCUCAUCAUUUAACUAUUUAAUAUAUAACAUAAGGUACUGAAU
rnacentral:lncRNA from 1 species